UUGCCCUUUACGGGCCGCUACGACGAAGCGAACGUGUCUAAAGACUGUGAACAAUGUCAGCUGCUAUGCUUCACAGAUGUCCGCUUGUGCAGCCUCCAGCGUGAAAAUUCAACGCCGGCAAAUCGCUCGGAGGCUGCCUACAACGACAGAAUAAUCAUGCACAAUGUGGGCGUAUUCGCCGCCUUUAAAAAACUGCUCAUAUCAGCACACGCUUGGAUGCCCCAUCACUCUGAACCUACCUCAAGUCAACGGAGAAUCUGUCAUCAGUGAAAGCAAGCUAAUGGGUUAAAAUCUUUGCAAGAAAACUGGACUAAAGAGAGACGAUUGAUUCCCAAGCUACCCAAAUCCAGUCGUAAGAAGCUCAACAGUUGCCAUAAUGACAACCCUAGGCCCCAUCAAUAUACCAGGUAGACAAAUGCAAGCCUUACACUGAAAAUCAGUGAUAGUGUAUGGCAUGUUCAAGCUGUACGGAAUAGGGAGCACAGAUUGUUGUUGCUUGCUCUAUUAAUUAAUCUGUUUACAGGAAAUGUGCAGGCUUUAAAUUGCUUGGACAGUGCAUGUUAUAAGGUGCAAAUACUGUACUUUACUCUCCGUGUCAAACUUUGCAUAGAGUAUCACAUAUAACUAGGUAAAAAAUGGACUUGUAGUAGUGCAUAUUUAGCAGCACUUCUUUUUCACAUUGUGUAUAGAUUGCUGUGAACUUAAGUACUCUUGCAAGACAGUGGUAGGUACAGCUAUAGUAGUGUUGAAACAAAGUUACUGAUAUUGUGUGCAUGUUGGGAGUGACAUUGUCAAAGUUAUAAAAAAAAGAAACUGUGCAAGAACUCGUUCCUUUAUUAAACGAGACAUGUUUUGCAGAGGUAGCAAUUGUGGAGCGGAACCAUGACAGUAAAAUAACUAGAAGAAUAAGGAUGGGUGGAUCACAUUCGGCAAGCAUUCUCAAAUCAUGAAUGAUAAGCUGUCACUAACCCUCAAGAGAAAGGUAUAUAACAGCUGCAUCUUGACCGUACUUGCCUACAGAGCAGAAACCUGGAGGCUUACAAAGAGGGUUUAGCUUAAAUUGAAGACUAUGCAGCGAGUGAUAGAAAGAAAAAUGAUAGGUGUAACCUUAAAACACAAGAAGUGAGCAGAGUGGGUCAGGGAACAAAUCAGCGUAUAGCAUAUCAUAGUUGAAACGAAGAAGAAAUGGACAUGGGCUGGGCUCGUAGUACACAGGCAGGAUAACUGCUGGUCAUUAAGGCUAACUGACUGGAUUCUUAGAAAAGGUUAAACGCAUGAAGUGAAAACAGAAGGUUAGGUGGGCCAAUGAGAUUAAAAAGUUUGUACGUAUAACGUGGCAGCAGAAAGCACAGGACCAAGUUGAUCGGCCGAUCAUGGGAAAGGCCUUUGUCCUGCAGUGGGUGUAAUCAGGCUGAUGAUUCGCCAAAAACAACCACCACAAUGCUUACAAGCAGUGAGCCAUAGUGUUAAAACGUAUGUCAAUAUUUGUGCUUUGAAACAUGUUUAUUUACGUGACAGAGUUAACGCAAUCAAAAUGAGAAGUAAUCAGUAAUUUGCAUUCGCUUGCAUUUAUUUCACUGCGAAUCCAUGACCAUCAUUCGUAGCUUGUUUAAAGGCUUUAGUUCAGCAUCCGAAAUCACAUCUACUGAGAAAUGCUGCUGUUCGGUUCUUUCCUCCUCUCGUAAAUUGAGUUUGGUGUGCUUUUGGAAAAUAUUGUGAUCAAUGUAAACUAACUUCUGCAAGCAGCAACACAAACAAGGGGCUCCCUGUUUGAUUUAACCGUUUUGUAUAUCAAUGUGUUUGAAGUUCAAAUUAUUGAGAGAUUAUGCCCAUAGAAAUACAUAGGGCAAUGUGCUUUUAAUUAACUGAGUUCAAGUAACGACUCUUUAUUGUAAUAUUAUUGUUCUGUGUAAAAUACCUGACGCACGACAAGGCAUUUUUAAAGGUAUGUUAGUUUUUAACAGAACUAUGAAUGCACUCAGUAGGUAUAAUUAAAGUUGGCCAGUGUUUGUACAUGUUGAUAAUUCGAAUGUCUACUAACAGCUAUUUCCUUGAUAUUGCUGUGAA
rnacentral:lncRNA from 1 species